rnacentral:rRNA from 1 species
GAUGAACGCUGGCGGCGUGCCUAAUACAUGCAAGUCGAGCGAACGGACGAGAAGCUUGCUUCUCUGACGUUAGCGGCGGACGGGUGAGUAACACGUGGAUAACCUACCUAUAAGACUGGGAUAACUUCGGGAAACCGGAGCUAAUACCGGAUAAUAUUUUGAACCGCAUGGUUCAAUAGUGAAAGACGGUUUUGCUGUCACUUAUAGAUGGAUCCGCGCUGCAUUAGCUAGUUGGUAAGGUAACGGCUUACCAAGGCAACGAUGCGUAGCCGACCUGAGAGGGUGAUCGGCCACACUGGAACUGAGACACGGUCCAGACUCCUACGGGAGGCAGCAGUAGGGAAUCUUCCGCAAUGGGCGAAAGCCUGACGGAGCAACGCCGCGUGAGUGAUGAAGGUCUUCGGAUCGUAAAACUCUGUUAUUAGGGAAGAACAAAUGUGUAAGUAACUGUGCACAUCUUGACGGUACCUAAUCAGAAAGCCACGGCUAACUACGUG